GAUGAACGCUGGCGGCGUGCCUAACACAUGCAAGUCGAACGGAGAUUAUUCGCUGCGGAGCCUUCGGGCGAAGCUUGAAUGAUCUUAGUGGCGGACGGGUGAGUAACGCGUGGGCAACCUGCCUUGCACAGGGGGAUAGCAGUUGGAAACGACUGGUAAUACCGCAUAUCUUAGAGAGACCGCAUGAUCCUUUUAAGAAAACGUUAGUGGUGCAAGAUGGGCCCGCGUCCGAUUAGAUAGUUGGUGGGGUAACGGCCUACCAAGUCGACGAUCGGUAGCCGACCUAAGAGGGCGGGACGGGCCACAUUGGGACUGAGACACGGCCCAGACUCCUACGGGAGGCAAGCAGUGGGGAAUAUUGCACAAUGGAGGGAAACUUC
rnacentral:rRNA from 1 species